UUACGGCCAUAUGACGUCGAAGCACCGGUUCGCGUCCGAUCACCAAUGUUAAGCAACCUCCAGCCCAGCCAGUACCUGGAUUGGUAACCGAUUGGGAAU